rnacentral:rRNA from 1 species
AUUGAACGCUGGCGGCAUGCCUUACACAUGCAAGUCGAACGGCAGCACGGAGCUUGCUCUGGUGGCGAGUGGCGAACGGGUGAGUAAUAUAUCGGAACGUACCCAAGAGUGGGGGAUAACGUAGCGAAAGUUACGCUAAUACCGCAUACAAUCUAAGGAUGAAAGUGGGGGCUCGCAAGACCUCAUGCUCCUGGAGCGGCCGAUAUCUGAUUAGCUAGUUGGUGAGGUAAAGGCUCACCAAGGCAUCGAUCAGUAGCUGGUCUGAGAGGACGACCAGCCACACUGGAACUGAGACACGGUCCAGACUCCUACGGGAGGCAGCAGUGGGGAAUUUUGGACAAUGGGGCAACCCUGAUCCAGCAAUGCCGCGUGAGUGAAGAAGGCCUUCGGGUUGUAAAGCUCUUUUGUCAGGGAAGAAACGGUGAAGGCUAAUAUCCUUUGCUAAUGACGGUACCUGAAGAAUAAGCACCGGCUAACUACGUGCCAGCCGCCGCAGUAAUAC